CAGUGUUAUCUCAGUGGUCCAAUAGACGUCCCCCAGGUCAUCUGUCUCAAGGUUGAUCUGCACAGAGGAUGUACAAGAGACAGCUGCCCAUCAGUCUCCUGCUACAGUGGACCAUUAGAGCACGGCCUGUGUCACCUGCCGUUCCCUCUGUUGUGUUAAGGAUUAUCCCAGGAAGUGAAUUGGAGCAACAGUAAUGUGAAGCUUGCCUCUUACUCUCUUCUGCCAGUCACCCCUGUGCCCUAAAACUGUCCUAAAUGACUUAAUCUACAGGGCGACAGUACUACAGAGAGGCUGGUGGGUGAGGACGGUCUCUGUGUGCUGUAAGGGGAUUGCUGUAAUUACUGGGAUCUGUGCACCGUAUUUAUCUUUUCAAGGGAUGGGUGAUCCUGCCAUAAAAAGCCCAACAUUUGGCAGUUAACUAAUGCACACCAUUAGAUUGAUUGUGCUGGAUUUGUGUUUGUGUGUGUAUGUGUGUGCCCCAUAUUUCCCUACUGCUGCCAUGCUCUGUGAUGUGUGUUUAAUAAUGCUUGGUUGUUCUCUGUAAUCCUGAUUAAAUGGGGGUUAAUGUGUGUCUGUUAUACUUUUUCACAGACUCUCCAAUCGUGACCUUCUACGACUAAAGGGUUUGCAUAAAUGAACUGGCUUAUGAGAUAUGAUUAGACAGAGGGAGAUGCAGCGAGACAUGGCAUUAAGAGGGACGAGGUUCAGGUAGCAAUGGGGCUGUCUGUAUUUGCGGUUUUGAUGUCUCACUUC